rnacentral:rRNA from 1 species
CACGUAGGGGGCAAGCGUUGUCCGGAUUUAUUGGGCGUAAAGAGCUCGUAGGUGGUUCGGUAAGUCGGGUGUUAAACCCCCAGGCUCAACCUGGGGACGCCACUCGAUACUGCUGUGACUAGAGUCCGGUAGGGGAGCGUGGAAUUCCUGGUGUAGCGGUGAAAUGCGCAGAUAUCAGGAGGAACACCAGCGGCGAAGGCGGCGCUCUGGGCCGGUACUGACACUGAGGAGCGAAAGCAUGGGGAGCGAACAGG